UAUAUAUAUAUGUAAAGUCUUUAAACUGUUUUCUAACAGGUAAAUCAAAUCUGAACCACGUGGCAUCUUUUGUUAAAGAAGAAGAUGAUGUCAGAACUGUGCAGGAACGCCAUGGCGAAACGUUUAAUCGACAAGGCUUCUACAGGCAGCAGUAUCCGCCACCAGGCCAGGUUCCUGCUGAGGAGCCCCAGCGACACCGAGAAACCUCUAGG